AUAAAUGUUAUCCUCAGCAGACACGAACCUGUGGAUCCAAGUAGUACCUGUUGCAGCUGGGAAGUCAUUGCAGGAUCUUGGUCCAGUGUUUGGCAACAGUUUGAUCUGAAGAUGGCAGUUUGGGUGAUUUGGAGCAGCCUCAGCCUGCUGCGACUGCUAUGGUGUCUUCUUCCGCAGACGGGCUACGUGCACCCGGAUGAGUUCUUCCAGUCACCAGAAGUCAUGGCAGGUAAAGUUCUCAUGUGGUUAAGACAAGCAGCAGCUGAGUGGCUGAGAGGCUGAUCGGCUAUUUAGUGGGGAAAGGAAAGCACGUCUGUACAGGCUUGUACAGUAACUCCACAAGCAAAGCUGUUUUAGCCUCUCUGGGACAACAGCUUGGGAGUGGGGACUCACAUCUUCUUCCUGAGUGGCAACACUGACCUUCUGGAUGAUACUGAUGAAACACCAGCCUCUUUGAUGUUUUCCUGCUUGGACCAACAGGUCAUUCAGAAUGAAAGCUAUGAUGGACUCCUUAACGGAAGGAUGAGAGUUGGGCUUUCCCAGUGUCUGGGGAAGCUUACACAGAGUUGUGAUCCGAGAAUAUGAAAAAUUUCCCACUGUAGUUCAAGGAAGGAGAGAGGGAACCCAGACAUGGGAUACUCACUUGUUAGAACUUAUCCACUAGGGGCUGGGGAUGUAGCUCAGUGGUAGAGCACUUGCCUAGUAUGUGUGAAGCCCUGGGUUCUAUCCCAGCACUGCAGAAAACAAACAAAACCAAAAUCUACUAGGUGGUGAAAGGUAUAUCAAGAGGAUGGUUGCCAGGGUCUAUGAGGACUUUUGGAUGCUAUCAGUGUGUGACUUCCUCCUCAUGGUUCAAGACGGAACUUUCAAAUCUAAAACUGUCUUUCUAGCAAACAGGAAAUGGACAUGCCUACUCCCUCUAAGGUCACAUUUUGUAAAUCAUAUGCUUUUUGUCCAUUUCCAUC
rnacentral:lncRNA from 1 species